GACGAACGCUGGCGGCGUGCUUAACACAUGCAAGUCGAACGAAGUGGCGAACGGGUGAGUAACGCGUAAUCAACCUGCCCUUCAGAGGGGGAUAACAGAUGGAAACGACUGCUAAUACCGCAUACUGAAGGAGGGGAUUGCGUCUGAUUAGCUAGUUGGAGGGGUAACGGCCCACCAAGGCGAUGAUCAGUAGACGGACUGAGAGAAAGAACGGACACAUGGGGACUGAGAAACGGCCCAGACUACUACGGGAGGCAGCAGUGGGGAAUCUUCCGCAAUGGACGAAAGUCUGACGGAGCAACGCCGCGUGAGUGAUGAGGGCAUUCGGGUUGUAAAGCUCUGUUAAUCGGGACGCGGUACCGGAAUAGAAAGCCACGGCUAACUACGUGCCAGCAGCCGCGGUAAUUC
rnacentral:rRNA from 1 species